rnacentral:rRNA from 1 species
GAUGAACGCUAGCUACAGGCUUAACACAUGCAAGUCGAGGGGAAACGAUAUUGGAAGCUUGCUUCCGAUAGGCGUCGACCGGCGCACGGGUGAGUAACGCGUAUCCAACCUGCCCACCACUUGGGGAUAACCUUGCGAAAGUAAGGCUAAUACCCAAUGAUAUCUCAAGAAGACAUCUGAAAGGGAUUAAAGAUUUAUCGGUGAUGGAUGGGGAUGCGUCUGAUUAGCUUGUUGGCGGGGUAACGGCCCACCAAGGCGACGAUCAGUAGGGGGUCUGAGAGGAAGGUCCCCCACAUUGGAACUGAGACACGGUCCAAACUCCUACGGGAGGCAGCAGUGAGGAAUAUUGGUCAAUGGGCGAGAGCCUGAACCAGCCAAGUAGCGUGCAGGAUGACGGCCCUAUGGGUUGUAAACUGCUUUUAUAAGGGAAUAAAGUGAGCCUCGUGAGGCUUUUUGCAUGUACCUUAUGAAUAAGGACCGGCUAAUUCCGUGCCAGCAGCCGCCGUAA